UAGUGCAAUGGCAUAAGCCAGCUUGACUGCGAGCGUGACGGCGCGAGCAGGUGCGAAAGCAGGUCAUAGUGAUCCGGUGGUUCUGAAUGGAAGGGCCAUCGCUCAACGGAUAAAAGGUACUCCGGGGAUAACAGGCUGAUACCGCCCAAGAGUUCAUAUCGACGGCGGUGUUUGGCACCUCGAUGUCGGCUCAUCACAUCCUGGGGCUGAAGUAGGUCCCAAGGGUAUGGCUGUUCGCCAUUUAAAGUGGUACGCGAGCUGGGUUUAGAACGUCGUGAGACAGUUCGGUCCCUAUCUGCCGUGGGCGCUGGAGAANCGCUGGAGAACUGAGGGGGGCUGCUCCUAGUACGAGAGGACCGGAGUGGACGCAUCACUGGUGUUCGGGUUGUCAUGCCAAUGGCACUGCCCGGUAGCUAAAUGCGGAAGAGAUAAGUGCUGAAAGCAUCUAAGCACGAAACUUGCCCCGAGAUGAGUUCUCCCUGACUCCUUGAGAGUCCUGAAGGAACGUUGAAGACGACGACGUU
rnacentral:rRNA from 1 species